rnacentral:rRNA from 1 species
UACGGAGGAUGCAAGCGUUAUCCGGAAUUAUUGGGCGUAAAGCGUCCGCAGGUGGUAGUUCAAGUCUGCUGUCAAAGCGUGGAGCUUAACUCCAUACAGGCAGUGGAAACUGAAUGACUAGAGUUCGGUAGGGGUAGCGGGAAUUCCCAGUGUAGCGGUGAAAUGCGUAGAUAUUGGGAAGAACACAGGCGGCGAAAGCGCGCUACUGGGCCGAGACUGACACUGAGGGACGAAAGCUAGGGGAGCGAAAGGG